ACACUCCUUUAGAGGCCAAUGCUACGAUUUGAUAGCAUUCCAACCUGCUAUUAAUGUGCUGAAAGAAAUUAAAGUGUUCCUCGAUUCCAACCCAUCGGAGAUCAUCACAAUCUUCAUAGAAGAUUAUGUCACAUCACCUCAAGGCCUAACUUAGGUAUUCAAUGCCGCCAGCCUUAGGAAAUUUUGGUUUCCGGUAUCAGGGAUGCCUAAAAAUGGGCAGGAUUAGCCCAUCAUCGAUGAUAUGAUUAGUAAGAACCAGCAUUUGUUGGUCUUCACCUCAAAAUCAACCAAGGAGGCUUCUGAAGACAUUACCUAUGAGUGGAGAUACAUUGUAGAAAACUAAUAUGGUGACAGUGGGAUGAAGGUGGGUUCUUGUCCUAAUCGUUCG